GGCCCCAUAGUGUAGCGGACUAGCACAUCGGCCUUUGGAGCCGAUAGCGGCGGUUCGAAUCCGCCUGGGGCUG
rnacentral:tRNA from 1 species